rnacentral:rRNA from 1 species
UACGUAGGGCGCAAGCGUUAUCCGGAAUUAUUGGGCGUAAAGAGCUCGUAGGCGGUUUGUCGCGUCUGCCGUGAAAGUCCGGGGCUCAACUCCGGAUCUGCGGUGGGUACGGGCAGACUAGAGUGCAGUAGGGGAGACUGGAAUUCCUGGUGUAGCGGUGAAAUGCGCAGAUAUCAGGAGGAACACCGAUGGCGAAGGCAGGUCUCUGGGCUGGUAACUGACGCUGAGGAGCGAAAGCAUGGGGAGCGAACAGG